rnacentral:rRNA from 1 species
CCGGUGAGUGAAGAAGGCCUUCGGGUUGUAAAGCUCUUUCGGUGGGGACGAAAUGGUUUGUGCUAAUACCACGAACUGAUGACGGUACCCGAAGAAGAAGCACCGGCUAACUACGUGCCAGCAGCCGCGGUAAUACGUAGGGUGCAGGCGUUAAUCGGAAUUACUGGGCGUAAAGCGUGCGCAGGCGGUUUGCUAAGACAGAUGUGAAAUCCCCGGGCUUAACCUGGGAACUGCGUUUGUAACUGGCAGGCUGGAGUGUGGCAGAGGGGGGUGGAAUUCCAAGUGUAGCAGUGAAAUGCGUAGAUAUUUGGAGGAACACCGAUGGCGAAGGCAGCCCCCUGGGCUAACACUGACGCUCAUGCACGAAAGCGUGGGGAGCAAACAGGAUUAGAUACCCUGGUAGUCCACGCCCUAAACUAUGUCAACUGGUUGUCGGGGGAGCAAUCCCUUGGUAACGAAGCUAACGCGUGAAGUUGACCGACUGGGGAGUACGGCCGCAAGGUUAAAACUCAAAGGAAUUGACGGGGAACCGCACAAGUGGUGGAUUAUGUGGAUUAAUUCG